rnacentral:tmRNA from 1 species
GGGGGCGUUACUGGUUUCGACAGGAAGCGUUGGAUAAAGCGUAAAGCAUGUGGUAGUCGUCCAUGCCUACCUAAAAAUGGACAGCGAAAAUAAACGCAAACAACGAAAAUCGUUACGCUGCUGCAAUAGCUGCCUAACAAACAAUUUGUUCAACUAUUUUGAACAGCUCAGGUUUUAAUGUGGCUUAUUAAUUCUUGGGUUUUAAGUUUAGCCAAAAUUCUGCUGUAAGUUUGCCUUUCUAGCUGCAGAAAAAACAAAAGGCUGGUCAAAAUCGUUUGUUUAUGGACUAAAUUUUGACAAGAUCGCAAACAUAAACUAAACAUGUAGAAAAACUUUGUUCAAGUUUUUUGGAAGCGGGUUCAAAUCCCGCCGUCUCCACCA